rnacentral:rRNA from 1 species
CCUACGGGAGACAGCAGUGAGGAAUAUUGGUCAAUGGACGAGAGUCUGAACCAGCCAAGUAGCAUGAAGGAUGACUGCCCUAUGGGUUGUAAACUUCUUUUAUAUGGGAAUAAAAUGUUCCACGUGUGGGAUUUUGUAUGUACCAUAUGAAUAAGGAUCGGCUAACUCCGUGCCAGCAGCCGCGGUAAUACGGAGGAUCCGAGCGUUAUCCGGAUUUAUUGGGUGUAAAGGGAGCGUAGGUGGAUUGUUAAGUCAGUUGUGAAAUUUUGCGGCUUAACCGUAAAAUUGCAGUUGAAACUGGCAGUCUUGAGUACAGUAGAGGUAGGCGGAAUUCGUGGUGUAGCGGUGAAAUGCUUAGAGAUCACGAAGAACUCCGAUUGCGAAGGCAGCUCACUAGACUGCAACUGACACUGAGGCUCGAAAGUGUGGGUAUCAAACAGGAUUAGAUACCCUAGUAGUC